rnacentral:rRNA from 1 species
GACAGAGGGUGCAAACGUUGUUCGGAAUUACUGGGCGUAAAGCGAGUGUAGGCGGUCUGCUAAGUCGGGUGUGAAAGCCCUGGGCUCAACCCAGGAAGUGCACUCGAAACUGGCGGGCUAGAGUAUCGGAGAGGUUGGUGGAAUUCUCGGUGUAGAGGUGAAAUUCGUAGAUAUCGAGAGGAACACCUGCGGCGAAGGCGGGUUGCUGGGCUGACACUGACGCUGAUGCGCGAAAGCCAGGGGAGCGAACGGG